rnacentral:tRNA from 1 species
GGCCCUGUAACUCAAUUGGAAGAGUGUCGGAUUGUCUAUCCGAAAGUUACGAGUUCGAAUCUCGUCAGGGUCGCCA